rnacentral:rRNA from 1 species
GACGAACGCUGGCGGCGUGCCUAAUACAUGCAAGUUGAGCGCUGAAGGUUGGUACUUGUACCAACUGGAUGAGCAGCGAACGGGUGAGUAACGCGUGGGGAAUCUGCCUUUGAGCGGGGGACAACAUUUGGAAACGAAUGCUAAUACCGCAUAAAAACUUUAAACACAAGUUUUAAGUUUGAAAGAUGCAAUUGCAUCACUCAAAGAUGAUCCCGCGUUGUAUUAGCUAGUUGGUGAGGUAAAGGCUCACCAAGGCGAUGAUACAUAGCCGACCUGAGAGGGUGAUCGGCCACAUUGGGACUGAGACACGGCCCAAACUCCUACGGGAGGCAGCAGUAGGGAAUCUUCGGCAAUGGACGAAAGUCUGACCGAGCAACGCCGCGUGAGUGAAGAAGGUUUUCGGAUCGUAAGACUCUGUUGGUAGAGAAGAACGUUGGUGAGAGUGGAAAGCUCAUCAAGUGACGGUAACUACCCAGAAAGGGACGGCUAACUACGUG